ACAGGGAUAAGCCCAGCACCGAAUCCCGCGGCCGAGAUCGGACGCCGGGAAAUGUGGUGUUCGGGAGGGUCCGUCAUCCCGAGGUCGUGCGGUGCGUCCAAGUCCUUCUUGAACGGGGCCACAGCCCAUAGAGGGUGCCAGGCCCGUAGUGACCGCUGCCGAUCGCGGGAGGAUCUCUCCUCAGAGUCGGGUUGCUUGAGAGUGCAGCCCUAAGUGGGUGGUAAACUCCAUCUAAGGCUAAAUAUGACCACGAGACCGAUAGCGAACAAGUACCGUGAGGGAAAGUUGAAAAGCACUUUGAAGAGAGAGUUCAAGAGUACGUGAAACCGUUUAGGGGUAAACCUGAGAAACCCGAAAGGUCGAAGGGAGAAAUUCAUUCGCGUUUCGUCAUCGACGUUUGGCGGGAUCGAGUGACGGAAUUUUCCGCACCUUCCGUUUUACGAUUCGAUGGCGAACGCGUGCACUUUUCUUCCGGUAGGACGUCGCAAUCCGUUGGGUGUCGGUCUACGGCGGGAGGUGGAGCCCGUUUGUGUUUCUCGAAACACGAGCGGACCCUUCCGUUUCCCGACCGACUCGCUCGACGGUAUACGAAAGGUUUAAGGCCGCUCACUUUAGAGCGUCCGACUCGCGGCAAGCGCGUCAGACGUGUCGGAAAUCGGACCUCGUGCCGGUUCUGACCUCUGAUGACUGUUGGCCGCGAAGAUCUCGGACAGACCUUAGGACCGAUUCGCGACGCUAUAGCUUUGGGUACUUUCAGGACCCGUCUUGAAACACGGACCAAGGAGUCUAGCAUGUACGCGAGUCAUUGGGAAUAAUUAAACCUAAAGGCGUAAUGAAAGUGAAGGUUUUCCUAGCGAAGACCGAGGGAAGACGGGUGGAUGUCACCGUUAAAAGUGACGCCAUCCUGCACUCCCGGGGCGUCUCGUUCUCAUUGCGAGAAGAGGCGCACCAAGAGCGUACACGCUGGGACCCGAAAGAUGGUGAACUAUGCCUGGUCAGGACGAAGUCAGGGGAAACCCUGAUGGAGGUCCGUAGCGAUUCUGACGUGCAAAUCGAUCGUCGGAACUGG
rnacentral:sRNA from 1 species